AUUGAACGCUGGCGGCAGGCCUAACACAUGCAAGUCGAGCGAGCGGCGGACGGGGGAGUAAUGUCUGGGAAAAUGCCUGAUGGAGGGGGAUAACUACUGGAAACGGUAGCUAAUACAGCAUCCCAUCGGAUGUGCCCAGAUGGGAUUAGCUAGUAGGUGGGGGAAAGGCUCACCUAGGCGACGAGCCCUAGAUGGUCUGAGAGGAGGACCAGCCGAACGGGAACUGAGACACGGUCCAGACUCCUACGGGAGGCAGCAGUGGGGAAGAUUGCAAAAUGGGCGCAAGCCUGAUGCAGCCAUGCCGCGUGUGUGAAGAAGGCCGUCGGGUUGUAAAGCACUUUCAGCGUGGAGGCGUUACUCACAGAAGAAGCACCGGCUAACUCCGUGCCAGCAGCCGGGGUAAUUC
rnacentral:rRNA from 1 species